GAUGAACGCUGGCGGCGUGCCUAAUACAUGCAAGUCGAGCGAACAGACGAGGAGCUUGCUCCUCUGACGUUAGCGGCGGACGGGUGAGUAACACGUGGGUAACCUACCUAUAAGACUGGGAUAACUUCGGGAAACCGGAGCUAAUACCGGAUAAUAUAUUGAACCGCAUGGUUCAAUAGUGAAAGACGGUUUUGCUGUCACUUAUAGAUGGAUCCGCGCCGCAUUAGCUAGUUGGUAAGGUAACGGCUUACCAAGGCAACGAUGCGUAGCCGACCUGAGAGGGUAAUCGGCCACACUGGAACUGAGACACGGUCCAGACUCCUACGGGAGGCAGCAGUAGGGAAUCUUCCGCAAUGGGCGAAAGCCUGACGGAGCAACGCCGCGUGAGUGAUGAAGGUCUUCGGAUCGUAAAACUCUGUUAUUAGGGAAGAACAAAUGUGUAAGUAACUAUGCACGUCUUGACGGUACCUAAUCAGAAAGCCACGGCUAACUACGUG
rnacentral:rRNA from 1 species